rnacentral:tRNA from 1 species
GCGUCCGUGACGGAAUUGGCAUACGUGCUAGAUUUAGAUUCUAGAUUCUGUGGGUUCGACUCCCACCGGGCGUA